rnacentral:rRNA from 1 species
AACGAACGCUGGCGGCAGGCCUAACACAUGCAAGUCGAACGCGCGUAGCAAUACACGAGUGGCGCACGGGUGCGUAACGCGUGGGAAUAUGCCCUUCACUGCGGAAUAACGUCUGGAAACGGACGCUAAUACCGCAUAAUGACUCCGGUCCAAAGAUUUAUCGGUGAAGGAUUAGCCCGCGUUAGAUUAGCUAGUUGGUGAGGUAAUGGCUCACCAAGGCUACGAUCUAUAGCUGGUCUGAGAGGAUGAUCAGCCACACUGGGACUGAGACACGGCCCAGACUCCUACGGGAGGCAGCAGUGAGGAAUAUUGGACAAUGGGCGCAAGCCUGAUCCAGCCACGCCGCGUGAGUGAAGAAGGCCUUCGGGUUGUAAAGCUCUUUCAGUCGUGAAGAUAAUGACGGUAGCGACAGAAGAAGCCCCGGCUAAAUUCGUGCCAGCCGCCGCCGUAA